rnacentral:rRNA from 1 species
AUUGAACGCUGGCGGAAUGCUUUACACAUGCAAGUCGAACGGCAGCACGGACUUCGGUCUGGUGGCGAGUGGCGAACGGGUGAGUAAUGUAUCGGAACGUGCCCAGUCGUGGGGGAUAACGUAGUGAAAAUUACGCUAAUACCGCAUACGAUCUAUGGAUGAAAGCGGGGGAUCGCAAGACCUCGCGCGAUUGGAGCGGCCGAUAUCAGAUUAGGUAGUUGGUGGGGUAAAGGCCCACCAAGCCAACGAUCUGUAGCUGGACUGAGAGGACGACCAGCCACACUGGAACUGAGACACGGUCCAGACUCCUACGGGAGGCAAGAGUGGGGAAUUUUGGACAAUGGGCGAAUGCCUGAUCCAGCCAUUCCGCGUGCAGGAUGAAGGCCCUCGGGUUGUAAACUGCUUUUGUACAGAACGAAAAGGUUUCUACUAAUACUAGGAGCUCAUGACGGUACUGUAAGAAUAAGCACCGGCUAACUACGUGCCAGCCGCCGCAGUAA